rnacentral:rRNA from 1 species
AAAGCGCGCGUAGGUGGUUCGUUAAGUGGGAUGUGAAAGCCCUGGGCUUAACCUAGGAAUUGCAUUCCAAACUGACAGACUAGAGUACGAUAGAGGGGGGUAGAAUUCAGAGUGUAGCGGUGAAAUGCGUAGAUAUUCUGAGGAAUACCGGUGGCGAAGGCGGCCCCCUGGAUUGAUACUGACACUGAGGUGCGAAAGCGUGGGGAGCAAACAGGAUUAGAUACCCUAGU